rnacentral:rRNA from 1 species
AACGAACGCUGGCGGCGUGGAUUAGGCAUGCAAGUCGUACGAGUUUCAUCUGUGUAACUGGAUGAAUAAAGUGGCGAAAGGGGCAGUAAGGCAUGUAUCAUCUACCCUGAUUACCGGGAUAGCUGUCCCAACGGGCAGGUAAUACCGUAUGUGCUCGUGGGGCCGCAUGGUUCUGCCAGGAAAUGCGCAAGCCGUUUCGUGAGGAGUCCGUGGCGUAUUAGCUAGUUGGUGAGGUAAUGGCUUACCAAGGCGGCGACGGGUAGCCGGUGUGAGAGCGCGGACGGCCACAUUGGGACUGAGAUACGGCCCAGACUCCUACGGGAGGCAGCAGUGGGGAAUAUUGCACAAUGUGCGGAAGCCUGAGGCAGCGACGCCGCGUGGGGGAUGACGGCCUUCGGGUUGUAAACUCCUUUCGACCGCGAGGAAGCCACCUGGUUGGAAGGGUGGUGACGGUAGUGGUAGAAGAAGCACCGGCUAACUACGUG